rnacentral:sRNA from 1 species
AAAAAUUAUUUUCGCAUGUUACAACGCACAUGCAUUCUACUAGUAAUAACAACAUGUA